AAGGUUUAAGGUUUUUGGCGUUAGGGUUAAAAUCACUGUCCAAAACCUUUGUUGGAACAAGUUUCAGACCUUUUGGAGUUGGUUACACCAAGAAAAAAUGUAAAAUGAAAAAAAAAUAUUGGGGAUUUUUGGGCAUUCCUGAAGGUAAUACCCGGGUAUUAGGUUUUGGGGCUAGGGUAAGGUUUAAGGUUUUUGGCGUUAGGGUUAAAAUCACUGUCCAAAACCUUUGUAGGAACAAGUUUCAAACCUUUUGGAGUUAGUUAGACCAAAAAAAAUGAAAAAUGAAAAAAAAAAUGUUUGGGGUGUUAAGGCUUCCUUUAGGUAAUACCCGGGAAUUAGGUUAUGGGGCUAGGGUAAGUUUUAAGGUUUUUGGCGUAAGGGUUAAAAUGACUGUCCAAAACCUUUGUUGGAACAAGUUUCAAACCUUUUAGAGUUAGUUAGACCAAAAAAAAAAAUGAAAAAUGAAAAAAAGAAAUUGGGGUGUUUUCGGGCUUCCUUUAGGUAAUACCCGGGUAUUAGGUUAUGGGGCUUUGGAAAGGUUUAAGGUUUUUGGUGUUAGGGUUAAAAUCACUGUCCAAAACCUUUGUAGGAACUCUUUUCCAACCUUUUGGAGUUAGUUAAACCAAAAAAAAGUGAAAAAUGAAAAAAAAAAAUGUUUGGGGUGUUAAGGCUUCCUUAAGGUAAUACCCGGGUAUUAGGUUAUGGGGCUAGGGUAAGGUUUAAGGUUUUUGGCGUUAGGGUUAAAAUCACUGUCCAAAACCUUUGUUGGAACAAGUUUCAAACCUUUUGGAGUUAGUUAGACCAAAAAAAAAAUGAUAAAUGAAAAAAAAAAUAUUUGGGGUUUUCGGGCUUCCUGAAGGUAUUACCCGGGUAUUAGAUUAUGGGGCUAGGGAAAGGUUUAAGGUUUUUGGCGUUAGGGUUAAAAUCACUGUCCAAAACCUUUGUAGGAACAAGUUUCAAACCUUUUGGAGUUAGUUAGACCAAAAAAAAACGAAAAAUGAAAAAAAAAAAUGUUUGGGGUGUUAAGGCUUCCUUUAGGUAAUACCCGGGUAAUAGGUUAUGGGGCUAGGGUAAGGUUUAAGGUUUUUGGCGUUAGGGUUAAAAUCACAGUCCAAAACCUUUGUUGGAACAAGUUUCAGACCUUUUGGAGUUAGUUAGACCAAAAAAAAUGAAAAAUGAAAAAAAAAAAUGUUUGGGGUGUUAAGGCUUCCUUUAGGUAAUACCCGGGAAUUAGGUUAUGGGGCUAGGGUAAGUUUUAAGGUUUUUGGCGUUAGGGUUAAAAUCACUGUCCAAAACCUUUGUUGGAACAAGUUUCAAACCUUUUAGAGUUAGUUAGACCAAAAAAAAAAAGAAAAAUGAAAAAAAAAAAAUUGGGGUGUUUUCGGGCUUCCUGAAGGUAAUACCCGGGUAUUAGGUUAUGGGGCUUUGGAAAGGUUUAAGGUUUUUGGCGUUAGGGUUAAAAUCACUGUCCAAUAUUUUUUAAGGAACAUGUUUCAGACCUUUUGGAGUUAGUUAGACCAAAAAAAAUGAAAAAUGAAAAAAAAAAAUUGGGGUGUUUUCGGGCUUCCUGAAGGUAAUACCCGUAUAAGGAUAUCUGGCUAGGGUAUGGUUUAAGGUUUUUGGCGUUAGGGUUAAAAUCACUGUCCAAUAUUUUUUAAGGAACAUGUUUUAGACCUUUUGGAGUUAGUUAGACCAAAAAAAAUGUAAAAUGAAAAAAAAAUAUUUUGGGUUUUCGGGCUUCCUGAAGGUAAUACCCGGGCCUUAGGUUAUAGGGCUAGGGAAAGGUUUAAGGUUUUUGGCGAUAGGGUUAAAAUCACUGUCCAAAACCUUUUUAGGAACUCUUUUCCAACCUUUUGGAGAUAGUUAGACCAAAAAAAAUGUAAAAAGAAAAAAAAAUAUUUGGGGUGUUCAGGCUUCCUGAAGGUAAUACCCGGGUAAUAGGUUAUGGGGCUAGGGUAAGGUUUAGGGUUUUUGGCGUUAGGGUUAAAAUCACUGUCCAAUAUUUUUGAAGGAACAUGUUUCAGACCUUUUGGAGUUAGUUAGACCAAAAAAAAAAGAAAAAUGAAAAAAAAAUAUUUGGGGUUUUUGGUUUCCCUGAAGGUAAUACCCGGGUAUUAGGUUUUGGGGCUAGGGUAAGGUUUAAGGUUUUUGGCGUUAGGGUUAAAAUCACUGUCCAAUAUUUUUUAAGGAACAAGUUUCAAACCUUUUGGAGUUAGUUAGACCAAAAAAAAACGAAAAAUGAAAAAAAAAAUGCUUGGGGUGUUAAGGCUUCCUUUAGGUAAUACCCGGGUAAUAGGUUAUGGGGCUAGGGUAAGGUUUAAGGUUUUUGGCGUUAGGGUUAAAAUCACAGUCCAAAACCUUUGUUGGAACAAGUUUCAGACCUUCUGGAGUUAGUUACACCAAAAAAAAAGGAAAAUGAAAAAAAAAUUUUGGGGGUGUUCGGGUUUCCUGAAGGUAAUACCCGGGUAUUAGGUUAUGGGGCUUGGGUAAGGUUUAAGGUUUAAGGUUUUUGGCGUUAGGGUUAAAAUCACUGUCCAAAACCUUUGUUGGAACAAGUUUCAAACCUUUUGGAGUUAGACCAAAAAAAAAAUGAUAAAUGAAAAAAAAAAUAUUUGGGGUUUUCGGGCUUCCUGAAGGUAUUACCCGGGUAUUAGAUUAUGGGGCUAGGGAAAGGUUUAAGGUUUUUGGCGUUAGGGUUAAAAUCACUGUCCAAAACCUUUGUAGGAACAAGUUUCAAACCUUUUGGAGUUAGUUAGACCAAAAAAAAACGAAAAAUGAAAAAAAAAAAUGUUUGGGGUGUUAAGGCUUCCUUUAGGUAAUACCCGGGUAAUAGGUUAUGGGGCUAGGGUAAGGUUUAAGGUUUUUGGCGUUAGGGUUAAAAUCACAGUCCAAAACCUUUGUUGGAACAAGUUUCAGACCUUCUGGAGUUAGUUACACCAAAAAAAAAGGAAAAUGAAAAAAAAAUUUUGGGGGUGUUCGGGUUUCCUGAAGGUAAUACCCGGGUAUUAGGUUAUGGGGCUUGGGUAAGGUUUAAGGUUUAAGGUUUUUGGCGUUAGGGUUAAAAUCACUGUCCAAAACCUUUGUUGGAACAAGUUUCAGACCUUUUGGAGUUGGUUACACCAAGAAAAAAUGUAAAAUGAAAAAAAAAUAUUUGGGAUUUUUGGGCUUCCUGAAGGUAAUACCCGGGUAUUAGGUUUUGGGGCUAGGGUAAGGUUUAAGGUUUUUGGCGUUAGGGUUAAAAUCACUGUCCAAAACCUUUGUAGGAACAAGUUUCAAACCUUUUGGAGUUAGUUAGACCAAAAAAAAAUGAAAAAUGAAAAAAAAAAAUGUUUGGGGUGUUAAGGCUUCCUUUAGGUAAUACCCGGGAAUUAGGUUAUGGGGCUAGGGUAAGUUUUAAGGUUUUUGGCGUUAGGGUUAAAAUCACUGUCCAAAACCUUUGUUGGAACAAGUUUCAAACCUUUUAGAGUUAGUUAGACCAAAAAAAAAAAAGAAAAAUGAAAAAAAAAAAUUGGGGUGUUUUCGGGCUUCCUGAAGGUAAUACCCGGGUAUUAGGUUAUGGGGCUUUGGAAAGGUUUAAGGUUUUUGGCGUUAGGGUUAAAAUCACUGUCCAAUAUUUUUUAAGGAACAUGUUUCAGACCUUUUGGAGUUAGUUAGACCAAAAAAAAUGAAAAAUGAAAAAAAAAAAUUGGGGUGUUUUCGGGCUUCCUGAAGGUAAUACCCGUAUAAGGAUAUCUGGCUAGGGUAUGGUUUAAGGUUUUUGGCGUUAGGGUUAAAAUCACUGUCCAAUAUUUUUUAAGGAACAUGUUUUAGACCUUUUGGAGUUGGUUACACCAAGAAAAAAUGUAAAAUGAAAAAAAAAUAUUGGGGAUUUUUGGGCUUCCUGAAGGUAAUACCCGGGUAUUAGGUUUUGGGGCUAGGGUAAGGUUUAAGGUUUUUGGCGUUAGGGUUAAAAUCACUGUCCAAAACCUUUGUUGGAACAAGUUUCAAACCUUUUAGAGUUAGUUAGACCAAAAAAAAAAAGAAAAAUGAAAAAAAAAAAUUGGGGUGUUUUCGGGCUUCCUGAAGGUAAUACCCGGGUAUUAGGUUAUGGGGCUUUGGAAAGGUUUAAGGUUUUUGGCGUUAGGGUUAAAAUCACUGUCCAAUAUUUUUUAAGGAACAUGUUUCAGACCUUUUGGAGUUAGUUAGACCAAAAAAAAUGAAAAAUGAAAAAAAAAAUUGGGGUGUUUUCGGGCUUCCUGAAGGUAAUACCCGUAUAAGGAUAUCUGGCUAGGGUAUGGUUUAAGGUUUUUGGCGUUAGGGUUAAAAUCACUGUCCAAUAUUUUUUAAGGAACAUGUUUUAGACCUUUUGGAGUUAGUUAGACCAAAAAAAAUGUAAAAUGAAAAAAAAAUAUUUUGGGUUUUCGGGCUUCCUGAAGGUAAUACCCGGGCCUUAGGUUAUAGGGCUAGGGAAAGGUUUAAGGUUUUUGGCGAUAGGGUUAAAAUCACUGUCCAAAACCUUUUUAGGAACUCUUUUCCAACCUUUUGGAGAUAGUUAGACCAAAAAAAAUGUAAAAAGAAAAAAAAAUAUUUGGGGUGUUCAGGCUUCCUGAAGGUAAUACCCGGGUAAUAGGUUAUGGGGCUAGGGUAAGGUUUAGGGUUUUUGGCGUUAGGGUUAAAAUCACUGUCCAAUAUUUUUGAAGGAACAUGUUUCAGACCUUUUGGAGUUAGUUAGACCAAAAAAAAAGAAAAAUGAAAAAAAAAUAUUUGGGGUUUUUGGUUUCCCUGAAGGUAAUACCCGGGUAUUAGGUUUUGGGGCUAGGGUAAGGUUUAAGGUUUUUGGCGUUAGGGUUAAAAUCACUGUCCAAUAUUUUUUAAGGAACAAGUUUCAAACCUUUUGGAGUUAGUUAGACCAAAAAAAAACGAAAAAUGAAAAAAAAAAUGCUUGGGGUGUUAAGGCUUCCUUUAGGUAAUACCCGGGUAAUAGGUUAUGGGGCUAGGGUAAGGUUUAAGGUUUUUGGCGUUAGGGUUAAAAUCACUGUCCAAAACCUUUGUUGGAACAAGUUUCAGACCUUUUGGAGUUGGUUACACCAAGAAAAAAUGUAAAAUGAAAAAAAAAUAUUGGGGAUUUUUGGGCAUUCCUGAAGGUAAUACCCGGGUAUUAGGUUUUGGGGCUAGGGUAAGGUUUAAGGUUUUUGGCGUUAGGGUUAAAAUCACUGUCCAAAACCUUUGUAGGAACAAGUUUCAAACCUUUUGGAGUUAGUUAGACCAAAAAAAAUGAAAAAUGAAAAAAAAAAUGUUUGGGGUGUUAAGGCUUCCUUUAGGUAAUACCCGGGAAUUAGGUUAUGGGGCUAGGGUAAGUUUUAAGGUUUUUGGCGUAAGGGUUAAAAUGACUGUCCAAAACCUUUGUUGGAACAAGUUUCAAACCUUUUAGAGUUAGUUAGACCAAAAAAAAAAUGAAAAAUGAAAAAAAGAAAUUGGGGUGUUUUCGGGCUUCCUUUAGGUAAUACCCGGGUAUUAGGUUAUGGGGCUUUGGAAAGGUUUAAGGUUUUUGGUGUUAGGGUUAAAAUCACUGUCCAAAACCUUUGUAGGAACUCUUUUCCAACCUUUUGGAGUUAGUUAAACCAAAAAAAAGUGAAAAAUGAAAAAAAAAAAUGUUUGGGGUGUUAAGGCUUCCUUAAGGUAAUACCCGGGUAUUAGGUUAUGGGGCUAGGGUAAGGUUUAAGGUUUUUGGCGUUAGGGUUAAAAUCACUGUCCAAAACCUUUGUUGGAACAAGUUUCAAACCUUUUGGAGUUGGUUAGACCAAAAAAAAAAUGAUAAAUGAAAAAAAAAAUAUUUGGGGUUUUCGGGCUUCCUGAAGGUAUUACCCGGGUAUUAGAUUAUGGGGCUAGGGAAAGGUUUAAGGUUUUUGGCGUUAGGGUUAAAAUCACUGUCCAAAACCUUUGUAGGAACAAGUUUCAAACCUUUUGGAGUUAGUUAGACCAAAAAAAAACGAAAAAUGAAAAAAAGAAAUGCUUGGGGUGUUAAGGCUUCCUUUAGGCAAUACCCGGGUAAUAGGUUAUGGGGCUAGGGUAAGGUUUAAGGUUUUUGGCGUUAGGGUUAAAAUCACAGUCCAAAACCUUUGUUGGAACAAGUUUCAGACCUUUUGGAGUUAGUUAGACCAAAAAAAAUGAAAAAUGAAAAAAAAAAAUGUUUGGGGUGUUAAGGCUUCCUUUAGGUAAUACCCGGGAAUUAGGUUAUGGGGCUAGGGUAAGUUUUAAGGUUUUUGGCGUUAGGGUUAAAAUCACUGUCCAAAACCUUUGUUGGAACAAGUUUCAAACCUUUUAGAGUUAGUUAGACCAAAAAAAAAAAGAUAAAUGAAAAAAAAAAUAUUUGGGGUUUUCGGGCUUCCUGAAGGUAUUACCCGGGUAUUAGAUUAUGGGGCUAGGGAAAGGUUUAAGGUUUUUGGCGUUAGGGUUAAAAUCACUGUCCAAAACCUUUGUAGGAACAAGUUUCAAACCUUUUGGAGUUAGUUAGACCAAAAAAAAUGAAAAAUGAAAAAAAAAAUGUUUGGGGUGUUAAGGCUUCCUCUAGGUAAUACCCGGGUAUUAGGUUAUGGGGCUUGGGUAAGGUUGAAGGUUUUUGGCGUUAGGGUUAAAAUCACUGUGACAAAACCUUUGUUGGAACAAGUUUCAGACCUUCUGGAGUUAGUUACACCAAAAAAAAAGGAAAAUGAAAAAAAAAUAUUUGGGGUGUUCGGGUUUCCUGAAGGUAAUACCCGGGUAUUAGGUUAUGGGGCUUUGGAAAGGUUUAAGGUUUUUGGCGUUAGGGUUAAAAUCACUGUCCAAAACCUUUGUAGGAACUCUUUUCCAACCUUUUGGAGUUAGUUAGACCGAAAAAAAAUGAAAAAUGAAAAAAAAAUAUUUGGGGUUUUCGGGCUUCCUGAAGGUAAUACCCGUAUUAGGUUAUGGGGUUAGGGUAAGGUUUAAGGUUUUUGGCGUUAGGGUUAAAAUCACUGUCCAAUAUUUUUUAAGGAACAUGUUUCAGACCUUUUGGAGUUAGUUAGACCAAAAAAAAUGAAAAAUGAAAAAAAAAAAUUUUGGGGUUUUCAGACUUCCUGAAAGUAAUACCCGUAUAAGGAUAUCUGGCUAGGGUAUGGUUUAAGGUUUUUGGCGUUAGGGUUAAAAUCACUGUCCAAUAUUUUUUAAGGAACAUGUUUGAGACCUUUUGGAGUUAGUUAGACAAAAAAAAAUGAAAAAUGAAAAAAAAAUAUUUGGGGUUUUCGGGCUUCCUGAAGGUAAUACCCGUAUUAGGUUAUGGGGCUAGGGUAAGGUUUAAGGUUUUUGGCGUUAGGGUUAAAAUCACUGUCCAAUAUUUUUUAAGGAACAUGUUUUAGACCUUUUGGAGUUAGUUAGACCAAAAAAAAAUGUAAAAUGAAAAAAAUAUUUGGGGUUUUCGGGCUUCCUGAAGGUAAUACCCGGGUAUUAGGUUAUGGGGCUACGGUAAGGUUUAAGGUUUUUGGCGUUAGAGUUAAAAUCAGUGUCCAAAACCUUUUUAGGAACUCUUUUCCAACCUUUUGGAGUUAGUUACACCAAAAAAAAAAGAAAAAUGAAAAAAAGAUAUUUUGGGUUUUCGGGCUUCCUGAAGGUAAUACCCGGGCCUUAGGUUAUGGGGCUAGGGAAAGGUUUAAGGUUUUUGGCGAUAGGGUUAAAAUCACUGUCCAAAACCUUUGUAGGAACUCUUUUCCAACCUUUUGGAGAUAGUUAGACCAAAAAAAAUGUAAAAAGAAAAAAAAAUAUUUGGGGUGUUCAGGCUUCCUGAAGGUAAUACCCGGGUAAUAGGUUAUGGGGCUAGGGUAAGGUUUAGGGUUUUUGGCGUUAGGGUUAAAAUCACUGUCCAAAAUUUUUGAAGGAACAUGUUUCAGACCUUUUGGAGUUAGUUAGACCAAAAAAAAAAGAAAAAUGAAAAAAAAAUAUUUGGGGUUUUUGGGCUCCCUGAAGGUAAUACCCGGGUAUUAGGUUUUGGGGCUAGGGUAAGGUUUAAGGUUUUUGGCGUUAGGGUUAAAAUCACCGUCCAAAACCUUUGUAGGAACAAGUUUCAAACCUUUUGGAGUUAGUUAGACCAAAAAAAAACGAAAAAUGAAAAAAAAAAAUGUUUGGGGUGUUAAGGCUUCCUUUAGGUAAUACCCGGGUAAUAGGUUAUGGGGCUAGGGUAAGGUUUAAGGUUUUUGGCGUUAGGGUUAAAAUCACAGUCCAAAACCUUUGUUGGAACAAGUUUCAGACCUUCUGGAGUUAGUUACACCAAAAAAAAAGGAAAAUGAAAAAAAAUUUUGGGGGGUGUUCGGGUUUCCUGAAGGUAAUACCCGGGUAUUAGGUUAUGGGGCUUGGGUAAGGUUCAAGGUUUAAGGUUUUUGGCGUUAGGGUUAAAAUCACUGUCCAAAACCUUUGUUGGAACAAGUUUCAGACCUUUUGGAGUUGGUUACACCAAGAAAAAAUGUAAAAUGAAAAAAAAAUAUUUGGGAUUUUUGGGCUUCCUGAAGGUAAUACCCGGGUAUUAUUUGGGGCUGGGAAGGUUUAAGGUUUUGGCGUUAGGGUU